AUUUGCAAACAAUUUGCCAGUAAAACUUCAAAUCCUCUGCUAUGGCAAACAUCUGUUAAUCCAGAACUCCGGUCACAUCCCAUCUGCAUUAUAAAUCAGAGGAUUAAUUUAUUGAGCUUUUGGUCUAAAAGACAACAUGAGACUGCUGCGAACUAUGACGAGCCAAUGAAGCUCGUUACUUUGGGCCAGGGCUUAUGCCGUGUUUCACUGAAAUGAUCCGAUAUUUCUUCGUAAACCUUGAACAUAACCGAUGACGAGAAACAUGAGUUUGCUUGAAAACUACAAUGACAGUCUCCAGUGCGAAUCUUUCGGAACGUAAAAGAUGUUCUCGUCGAUCUUUGGAGAAUGGUUGAACCGACUUUGUUCCUCACCACGUCAUUGUGCCUUGGCAUGAUCCCAUGCAUCCAAG